rnacentral:misc_RNA from 1 species
CAUUUUUUUACAUCGGGAGGCGUACUGUUUGGCGUAGUGUUUUAUCGGAUUGUUUUACGGAAAUACUGACUUGGUUCUAGAACGAGCCGAAAAUGCCGGGUUUUAGUAGCGUUGGCACAUUCAAAAUUUUCAUCGGUAAUUUAGCUGACAAGACGUCGAAUGCCGAUAUUAAACCGUUAUUUGAGAAAUACGGAAAGGUUGUAGAAUGCGACGUGGUCAAAAAUUAUGGAUUUGUGCAUAUGGAGAAUGAAGAAGCAGGGAGAAACGCGAUACAAAAUUUGAAUGGACAUAUAGUUCAUGGACAGCCGAUUAAAUGCGAAGCUGCAAAGAGUCGUAAGGGACCUAACACACCUACGACGAAAAUAUUCGUUGGCAAUCUCACAGAUAAUACGAAAGCGCCUCAAGUGCGCGAACUGUUCGCCAAGUAUGGCACCGUUGUAGAAUGCGAUAUCGUGAGAAAUUACGGAUUCGUCCAUCUAGAAGCAACAGGUGAUGUGAAUGAUGCCAUCAAGGAGCUGAAUGGACAAAUGGUGGAUGGUCAGCCGAUGAAGGUUCAAAUUUCUACGAGCAGAGUGCGACAAAGGCCGGGAAUGGGAGAUCCUGAACAGUGCUAUCGUUGCGGUCGCGGCGGCCAUUGGUCCAAGGAAUGCCCGAAAGGAGGAAUGGGAGGAGGACCAGAUAGGAACGGAUACAGAGACCGAAUGUUUGGACGCGACCCGUAUCCUCCACCGCCGCCACCACCGUUCCUUCGGGACCGGCUAAUGGGUGGUGGCCGCUUUGGAGAUUACGAAAGCUACUAUGACAGGAGAGGCUUCGAGGACACCAGGGACCUCUACGAGAGGCGGUUUACGGGUAUGACAGGGCCCUGUGACAUGGGAAGUUCCAUGUGCGGGCUUGACUUUCCACCAAUGACAAUGCCACCUCUACCCCCAAGACGAGACCCAAUGCCUCCUAUGCCUCCUCUAGGUAUGGGAUCCAUGCGCGACACUGGCUUCUCCCGUGGUAACGAGUAUGGCAUGUUCAGCCGCCGAUCACCCCCUCCGAGUGGCAACAACGGCCGGUUCAGUGCACCUCAGGCUGCGUACCAUCUUUGUCCAUGAAUGCGGACAACCCUAGAGAGACAGUCCCGGGCCAGCGUUCAAGUCGUGCAAGAACCGGGAUUACGAGGGCCAUCGCCGUCGCGCCGGUUCGCACCAUACUAAAUCGUCGCGUCGGGCUCGGAUCGGUCUCUGUCGGUCUGUCUGUCUCUCUGUGUCGGGUCUCUGUGUCUGUCGCUAGCAGGAAGCCUCGGGACCGAGAUACUCUUGGCCGUCUGUCGAUCUGCACGCGCGAAGAUCUACUCUCCCCGCAAUGCGCUAUUUAGACGAGAACCGGAACCGGAACGG